rnacentral:rRNA from 1 species
GAUCUGGCUCAGAUUGAACGCUGGCGGCAGGCCUAACACAUGCAAGUCGAGCGGUAGCACAGAGAGCUUGCUCUCGGGUGACGAGCGGCGGACGGGUGAGUAAUGUCUGGGAAACUGCCUGAUGGAGGGGGAUAACUACUGGAAACGGUAGCUAAUACCGCAUAAUGUCGCAAGACCAAAGUGGGGGACCUUCGGGCCUCAUGCCAUCAGAUGUGCCCAGAUGGGA